rnacentral:rRNA from 1 species
ACGGGUGAGGAACGCGUAGGAAUCUGCCUUACAGAGGAGGACAACUAGAGGAAACUCUAGCUAAUACUGCAUAAACUCUGAGGAGCAAAGGCUAGGUAGCAAUACCUGGCGCUGUAAGAGGAGCCUGCGUCCGAUUAGCUAGUUGGUAGGGUAAAGGCCUACCAAGGCGAUGAUCGGUAGCUGGUCUGAGAGGAUGAUCAGCCACACUGGGACUGAGACACGGCCCAGACUCCUACGGGAGGCAGCAGUGGGGAAUAUUGGAUAAUGGGGGCAACCCUGAUCCAGCAAUGCCGCGUGUGUGAAGAAGGCCUUCGGGUUGUAAAGCACUUUAGGUUGGGAAGAAGGUGCGUAGUUUAAGAGAUGACGUACUUGACUGUACCAACAGAAUAAGCACCGGCUAACUCUGUGCCAGCAGCCGCGGUAAUACAGAGGGUGCAAGCGUUAAUCGGAGUUACUGGGCGUAAAGGGCGCGUAGGCGGUUUAGUAAGUGAGAUGUGAAAGCCCUGGGCUUAACCUAGGAAUUGCAUCUUAUACUGUUAGACUUGAGUAUUGUAGAGGGUAGUGGAAUUUCCGGUGU